rfam:TPA: Bos taurus chromosome 12, whole genome shotgun sequence.
UCCCUGGUGGUCCAGUAGUUAGGACUCAGUGUUUUCACUGCUGACAGUGUGGGUUCAAACCCUCUUUAGGGAA